AGUUUCUUUAUAAAAUAAUACUACUACACAAUUUUAAAAAUUGUAACUAUCUACUUGUGAGAUAUCCACUGUUAACAACUUUUACCCUCAAUUAUGAUUAAAAAUUCAAAGGGGGCUGGGAAGCAGGCGGGAUGGGGGGAGUAAUGACAACAAAACCAGUGAGCUGUAAAAGUAGCCUUGUCUACUGUACUCUCCAUUCCAACCCUGUCUUUGCCCCUCUGAAACUACACCAACCCAAAAGACUUCUCCCCUCUAUUUCCUUCUGCAUCUAUGUCCUCCUAACCAAGCUAAGCACUACCACCCCCCACCUCCCUACUGCACUAGGCUCCCUGGGCCUUCAUUUUCUACAGUGUUUGACAUACAUUUUCUCACUAUAUGUAACAGCUAGCAAUCAUGUGAUCUCAUAAAGGUCUCUCUCUACCACCCUGUGCUAGGGCAUUAUUCUUCCUUGAUGAGUCAUCCUGGUUGUCAACAUGAUGCACACAGUUCCUCCAUCAGCCCGGCCUGCAGACACGCCUGUGGGCAUGUUCUCUGGAGGUUGAUGUAGGAGGAACCAGCACUGUAGACAGGACCCUCUGGGCAGGUGAGCCUGAACGUAGAAGAGAGACCCGAGCAGCGGGGGAGGGAGGCCAGCAAAGCUGCAUCCCUCAUGGUCGCUACUUCAGUUUCUGUUCCAGGUUUCUAACUUGAGUUCCUGCCUUAGCUUAACUGGAUGAUAGAGUGUAUAUAAACAAAAACAAACACAAACAAAACCUUUCCUCCCAGUUGGCUUUGGGCAGUGGUUUUUAUCAUAGUAACACAGAAGCAAAUGAAAACACUUCUCACAGAAUCUAGAAUAAUUCAGGUCCAACACUGAGUCUAUGAAGAACCAGAAACCUAGAUCUCUUUUUCAAACCAUAUAUAUAAUCAUUCUAACUCUUCACCGCACUUUUGUCCUGACCACAGAACAGUUGCCAUUAGAAUACAGAAGAGGCUGCCACGGAAACGGCACCAUGACAAGUCAAGAACCCUAGAGAAUGCUGAGUAUUCUUUGUUCUUGGUCCUGCUAUGAUAGUGUAAAAUUAAUCUAUCAAUGAAAGACCCUAAUGUAGGUCUCUAAGGAUUUUAGGGCUGUCAGUCACCCAUUAUGAAACUAGCUGUGUAAGGAGCGAUCUUUAAGGACAGCCAAGCUCUGCUGAACCCUAUAGAUGGGCUCCACACCCAGAGCACGCCAACAACAGAAUGGGCCAGUUAGACAGGAUGGCUUCCUUAGGCAGCGCAACAUUCAAACAUGGCAGAGGCCAUUGCCAGGGCCCCUACAGAAGUGUUCAGUAUAGAGUGGGCUGCUGAUACCUCUGAUAUCCUGGUAUUUAAGGUCCCAUCAUUAUAACCCUUAAGAUCCUCUGGGCAGACUUAACCUCAUUCCCAGUACUCAAACAACCUAGAAUGAAUCCAUGUCUCAAACAUUCAUUCAACAGCCAAUCAACCCAAACAUUAUUCUUGAAUAUCUCUGAAAAUUAUGCCCAUUCAGAUUUCUCACCCAAGUGCCUCCUCUAAGAAUCUACUUAAAUCUGACUAAAUUAAAUUCCACUUAAUUUUAGGUUAUUUUGCCAUUGUUAGGCCAUUAUUUAUGGUUAUCCAUUUCAACCUACUACUUAUUCAAGAUAAUUUCUCAGCUUCAAUUUUUAUAUCAGUGACUAUAAUAUAUCCAAUUUCUCAGUAAAACUUGAUAAAAAAUAUGAUUUCUAUGGUACCAUAUAAUAGUGAUGUUUUCUCCCUCAAACAAGGAUAUUCAAACCAUAUUAGGGAGAACAAGAGAAAAACUGUGAAAAAAAGGGCUUACAAGCAAAUAUGGUUAUGUAUAUAUAUAUUUCUUCUAUCUGCCCUUGUUCACAACUAUAAAUAAAAUUGGUAGUGCUUUACUAAAUGUGGUUGCAAGUUCUUUCCACCAAGCUCUCUGCAAUGCUAUCAAUCACUAAUAACAUGAUGUGGGGGAAGCAAAGGAGGCUAGAGGAGAAUUACUGCCCGUUUCUGGAAUACAUGAGGAAACAGAAGGUUUUACUUCUUGUCCCAACUAUUUUAGCGCCUUCUCAUUUUACUCCAUUUAGUUUGGGCAAAAUACAAGGAGAACUCAUUUUUAGAGAAGAUUAAAACAUGAUACAAUAAUAAAAUAUUCAGUUUCUGGACACAUAAGUCAAACAGAAGGGUUCACUGGGGUGUGGCUCACUCUUCAGGCCUCUGGAAGCCCCGAGUCACUCUUCUGAAAGACAUCCAAGUUCGCUCAUUACUGACUCAUGCUGCCAUAGGGUUGCAAGGUCCUCAACCUUUCCCUGAAAAGCAUAUUUUAGUUUUUGAGGAUAGGAUAGGAGAUCCAGAAAGGAAGUGCUAUGGCCACAUCUUAGUGCUCUGGCCCAUAAGAAGUCAUGCUUUCUUUUGCUGGCAGAGAUGAGAAGCACUGCGCAGAGAGAGGCAGGCCUGGAAGCAGAUAGAGUCUUUAUCUAAAUUUUAUCCAGAUUACACAUUAUGAAACAUCCACCACACUUAAGCUGUAACAGCCUGGUUUGUGUGUGCAUGUUCAUGCUCACAUGCAUGUGUACAAGUGCAGGAAAUGCGAAAUGACAAUCUAGGCUUAAAUUUGAACACUGUCUCUUCCUGGGUAGAAGACCUAUAUGAAUCGACCUCGCAAGUGCCUCUGACUUCUGACUUACAAGCUGGCAUUGACGUUACCAACCUCACAUGGUGGCUGUGAGGUGAUGUAGGCCAAUCUAAGUCAUGGCCAAGUACAGCACACAGCAUACAAAAAUAUGCUCUCCAUGGAUAAAGUAUUCAUUCUACCUAAACUGUGGCUACCUGGUGUUUAGAGCCUGCCAAGAGUCAUGCAACAAUACACCUGAACACUAACUCAUCAAAGGACUUGGCUAGCCAGCAGCACUUAAUCAAGCGACUCAGUUGUGAAAGGUUCUCCUGUCUCUGCUUGUUUUGGACUAGUAGCAAGUGUCAGGAGCCUAAGUCACUGGGUCAAGGCUGCCCAGAUCUCUUUUCACAGAGGAAUCAGUCAAGGACUGAGAAGGCUCUGUGCAGUGGUGGUGGCUGCCUGGCCAAUUUCAUGGACAGUCCCUUCGUGGCUUUGGCAGAUUCUGGCACUGUCUACUAAAAUAAAUUUGGAGCCAGAAUAUGGCUUGCCUAUUUUGACUUGUGUACAUUUUUCUGAAUACAAGAGACUAUUGAGAGGGCUAGGGCGAAUGGAGCAAACGCUUGUUGGUUUCCCUGAAAGCCCAAGCUGCUUCUCGGUGAUGAGAAAGGCACACUCACUCAUCACAGCCAUGAGUUAGCACUACACCUCAGCACUGCUUCCCAACUGUGCACCAGAACUGCCAUCGGUCGCUGGGCCUCAGCCUAGUAGUUCCUCAGUUCGGAAACCUGGGGCAGGAGGACCUGGAGCUAAGCACGUGCCACUCAGAUCCAGGUCCAGAAGUCGCUGCUGCUAGUAGCCGGGUGUCACUGCUCUAUCUGUAGAAGAACUUUACUAAGAAUGCUAAUUCAUGUCAGAUAACCCAGCACACUGCCAUCCUCAUUCAAGGUUUGUUAAAUGAAUGAACUCAUGAAUAAACAGAUAAAGACACCUUCAUCAAUGCUGCACAGUCUGUGUUUAAUAUCAUACUUUACACAUUCAGAAACCAAGGUGGCUUCCAAUUUCCUUUAGUUGGAAGCUGAUUAUAUUUUAAAUGGAUUUUAAGGUGGAAAGAGACAACAAUAUGAACAUUCACAUGCACACUCACACGCUCCUCCCACGGGCUGCUCUAUGAACCUCAGUAUCACUGUCUUCCUUCUAUCAAUAAAACCUGCAGAUUGGGCUGGACAUGGCUGUCCAGCUGGAGACAAAGUCUCUCCAUCACCUACAGCAGCUACACGUGCUUACCAAUAGGUGCUCUUUUUCCUAGGCUCAAGAGCAGAUGGGGAGAGAACCACUUUUAAUGAAGAUCACGCAGCGAGAGAAGACGAUCUCCUUGUCCCAGCAGAGGCAGGCAACCUCCUGUAAAAUGCUACACAGCAAACAUUUUGACUUGGCAGGCAAUACUGUCGUGACGACUUAAGUCUCCCACUACAGUGCAAAAGCAACUACAGACAGCGAGAAAGCAAGCCUGUGACUGUGCCACUUUACAUGAUGGACAUGAACAAGAGUCUACCUUUCAGAGCUGUAAGACUUCCCCCAACUACUUAAAAAUAAUACAAUAACCAUUUUUAGUAUGCAGACCAGACUAAAACAGAAAACAAGCCAAAUUUAGCCCAGGGGCCACCAUUUGCCAAUCCUUAUUCUUGAUAACAAUGAAGCAAAUGAACAAUGAAACAAACUUCAUUCUCCUAAGCAUCCCUUAUUGCUGUGGAGCACACGUUCCAUGCACAGCCGCUUGCUUGCACAAGACAGAGGCGCUCCUCUCUUCUGUAAGGGUAGCACUCUGGAGUCCACGACUAUGAAGCAUGGCAUGUAAUUAUAUCCAUGUACCAAACACACAAAGUUAUACUUUGAUAUGGGAAGACCUGAGCUCCUUCACAUCUUCUCGUCGUUGCCACCAAGAAAGAGCAGCAGGCUAGAUGCAGAGUGUUUCCCUGAACCAGGAGUGGCCAGCACAAUUCCACCUCCCCACAGGCUCCAAAGUACAUCCUGUGUGACACAGGAGUAAAGGCACCUCUCACUUUCCAACAGAGAAGUAGUGUAACCCACGUAAAGAACAAUGGUUCACAGGGUCUCCAUGGUGACUUUCUAGAUGCUCUGUUAGAGCCAGUUUUAAACCCGAGUGUCUCCUUGGCUAGCUGUUCCUCUGCAGAUAGUCUGCCUCUGACUGCCGUUAAGUCUAAUGUCAGACACUCACUGUGCUUGAUGACACUGACUUCUAGAAUGGGAACUGGAGAAGUCUAGUGCUUUUCUGUUUCAACCUACAGCUGUCAACAUUCUCCUUUGUCAGAGUGCCCCUAAAUUCCAGCCACACUCUGCUUCCACCCAUUGUCCCAGGUUCAGGAAAACUAAUGGCAGUUCACACAGCUGUGAGGGCAAAUAUUAAGGAACUCACAUUAUAGUCGGAGAAACAUAUGUGAACGAAGCAAGUAAAUGAAAAUAUACAGAACAGAGAAGCACUCAGUAGAAGCAAAUCUUACCAAGGACUUAAGCUGGCAAGUGUUGCAGGCUGUGUAGGAGGGCAGGUUUCCCAGUUCAGCAGAGGUCAUAAGAGAAAGGCUCUCUGCAGAUCAGAGGGUGAAAGAUGUGCUGUUCGUGAGGAAAUCACAUGAGUUACCUGGGAAGACUGGCAGGUUGCUGGGGAAACUCCAGACUAUCCUCACAGCUUUUCUCUAAAUCUAAAACUACUUUGACAACCAAGAAAUCCACACAGAUGGAGCAAAAACAAAGUCGUGGACUUGGUUGGCAGUCUAGCGGAUGAAGAUAAAUGGGGCUGCAGCUCCAGGAUCCAUGAGAAUAAAAAAGAAUCAGAUGAGCCUAGUGGACUUCAAUCUCCUAAGCAUCCAGAAAGUCUGCCAUGUUAAAAAAAAAACCUGCAAUUUUCUAAGGUGAGCAACCGAAGGUUCAGGAAAAGAACACAGGAAACCCAGUCUUUAUCUUAGAGGGGAGAAAUCAAACAGUCUGGGUAAGCAGUGAAAGAAGAUGGAUGGAACCCAAAGGUCCGAAUGACCACAAGGAACCCAGCAGCUUGCUCUAGACCCCUAUAUGAAAGAAAAAUAAACUUCCUGAACCCUUAAUCCAUACAAGGUUGGGUUUUUUUGCUAUAGUUAGCUGAAAAGAUAAACCUUUUAUGCAAAGUGGACCACUUUCUGCAAACUAUGACUUAACUGAAAACGUCCAGUGCCUCUAAACAUGCUCCAUGGUAAGCUGGCUCCUAGCCGCAGCAAAAGAAGACAGACUGACAAUAGCAGUUCAGAGAAAGGAGAGGGAAUCCCCUUUAACUAUUCCUGUCGUAGUUCUUAACGAUCAUUUCCACACUUCUUUCCAACUCUCUGUGUCCCCUCUCCUUUCACUUUUCCUUCCUUGACAGGAUCAUCUCUAUCUCAGACUGGUCUUAAACUUGCUAUGUACCUAAUUGAAUUCUUGACUCUCUUGCCUGUGCCUCCCUAUGCUAGGACAGUAAUAGGUGUGAGCCACCAUGCUCAACCUUUCCCCACAUCUUUCAAUCCUUCCAAUAAAACAGCCAAAUGGGAGAUGUAUAAAGUGGUCUAACCAGAUGGAAAAUAGAAAAACAACUCAAAGCUUCUAAAUUAGUGUGGCUUCAAAGUGUUUAUUUCAAGCAAAAUUUGAAAGUGAAAAAAGAGGCUAGAUCACUGUUUUCAGACGUCAUCUUGGGUUUGCAGCCAUCUUGGUAGAUAGUGUAAAAGUGAAGACAGUGCAGUUGGUAUCUGCUUAAACUCCUAUGUUAUAAACUUAGUAUCACUGCAGAGAGGGGACACAAUGGUAAGAUGUGGCACCAUGGGCCAUGUCUCAGAAGGCUCAUCUUCUAGUCAGAAGAAACAACAAUUACUGUAAUAAUAAAAAUUUAAAUGGUUAUGUGUUGUCUGCUCUAACCAAUAACAAUGAAGGCUUCAUCAGUUAACACUCACUGAAUUUAACAUAAGCUCGACACUGCCAUUUGACCCUCACAACCACUCUAUCUGGUAGUUAUCAUGUUCCUCCUGCACAUGUGAAAAUGACGCACUAUCUAGCUACCCAAGAUCAUGUUAACACCCCUGGGCACUUGACACCAAUGGCAGUUUCCUCAGCACAUGAAGGUGCAAAGUACAGAGGAAAUGGAGAACAGAGACUUCCAAUUUGCAGAACCUCAUCCCCUGGUACUGGCUUAACCUGGGGAAAGCAAAGAAACAGCACAUCCAGCCAAGUAGUGUGUGAUCUUUACUAAGCUCUCAGUGGCGGGUGGGUACUACUGGGAGUCUUCACAUCUCGGCCCUCCAGGCCACUCGAGAAUUAGGAAUAAAAAUAUAGGAAAACCCAACUGAAAAUCUUCAGAUCCUUAAAGGGCCUAGGAUGGAAAAGGGGCCAUCCCUAACUAGAGAGGUAGACUCCCUUAUUUUCUAUGACCAACUGAAAGCCAUGCAAAUUCUUUCUCCUACAUAAGUUUCAAGUCCCAUGUCUAAAAUGUUUAUUCGUGUCUCCCUGGGAUUUACAGAGUAUGAUUCUGAAGGUCCCUGGAACACUGAAGGGACAGCUAUGUCCACUUCAGGAGAAAACUUGCCUCUGCACUAAUAUCAACAUGCCUUUUGUCUCUUCUACUUCUGAUAAAGGAGCUUAGUAACCAGCUCAUACUCUUCUUCCUUCACGCAGAAAUACAGGUCUCUGACCUACCAACUCUGUGACUGGUCAUAUGACUUGAUUUGGCCAACAGAAUGCUGCAGACAUGACAAGAACAAAGUCUUUAAACAUCUACCAUCUGCCUUGGCUCUUGAGUUCUGGCAUCCACAACGAGCAAAGUAAAGCGUUGGUAGCAGUUGCCACUUCAAUUAGGUACCAGAAUGCACCCACCUGAGCAGACUUAACAGCAGGUCUCAACCUGUGGAUCAACCCUUUGUCAACCUUCAAUCUCCCAAAAAAUAUAUAUUAUAAUUCAUAACAGUAGCAAAAGCAGUUAUGAAGUAGCAAUGAAGCAAUUUGAUGGUUGCGAUUACAAACACGCAGAAGUACAUUAAAGGGUCACAGCAUUCGGAAGGUUGAGAAGCGCUGCUCUAGAUCAGCCUAAAGCUGAGCAUCUUCCUUGAUCAGUCAAAGCUCAGUCCCUGCACGCCAUAUACAUAUGUUGAAGGUCGGAGGCUCUGCUUCCUCUGGGCACAGCAUUCCUCCCAAAGGCCUCACAUCAAGAACUGGCCGCUUGCUAACAUGCUGUUCAGAGGGGUGGGAGCCUGUGCAAGAGACCUAGGAGAACUAAGAGAGGGUCACUGCGCCAUACUCUAAGGGGAUAUGAAACACCAGGCUCUCCGUCUUUUUGCUUCUGGCUGCCAUGGGGAGAAACAGGUCCCCUCCACCCUGUUCUCCCACCAUGAAGGUCUACACCACCACAGGCCCAGUGGAAUAAGGCCAAGUCUCAGAAAUUGUAAGGCAAAAUACAGACUUUUCCUUUUAUAAGUUGAUUUAGUUCACAAACUUGCCACAAGAACAGAAGCAACUACCAUGGUCACUGAGCCUUGGGAUAGAUUAUAAUUAGCAAAACUGCAAUGUGUCACAGGAUGUUCCAUAUUAACUAAAAGACUAGAUUGCAACUACAAAUACAUACACCUAAAUUAUAAUUUUUAAUUUUUAUCUUGAAUUUCACUUAUGUGUGUAUAUCCUGUCACCAAACAGCUACUUCUCAAUUAUGUGAACAAAGAUACAGACAAGUAAAAACAGAGCAGAAUCAUACGUUCUUGGUGAACUAAACUGAUGGCCUAUCUUGGCAGAAAAAUAUCUAUGCUACAUCUCUAAAGAUGCAAAAUUGGAGAAAGAAAAGGUAGUCACUCUUUUACAUUAAAUAUCCCCUUCCAAUUGGGAAAAAGCCAAGCUAUGAGGCAACAUUAUCUUCAGGCUUAGGGUCUACCACAGCCCUGUGGAAAUCAACCAAUGUGUCAGUCAAACUUCUUUUAUUUUCUGUUUCUCACCCCUCACCCUUGUAAUGAGCCAGUAAAAUCUAUUUAAGAUUUCACAAAACUGCUGAAGAGAAAUGUUGAAGGAAUGUAUAGAUCCUCAGAGUUUGGAAGCAAGCAUCAUUAGAUAGAUAGAUGGAUAGAUGAAUGGAUGGAUAGAUGGAUGGAUGGAUAGAUA
rnacentral:sRNA from 1 species